rnacentral:rRNA from 1 species
AGGGUGUAAACGCUGCAGACUUGGUGUUGGAAGCCCUUUGGGGGCAUUCAGUGCCGGAGAGAAGUUGUUAAGUCUGCUACUUGGGGAGUACGUCCGCAAGGAUGAAACUUAAAGGAAUUGGCGGGGGAGCACCGCAACGGGAGGAGCGUGCGGUUUAAUUGGAUUCAACACCGUAAAACUCACCAGGGAAGACUGUUACAUGAAGGCCGAGAUGAAGACUCUGCCAGAUUUUUCAGAGAGGAGGUGCAUGGCGUCAGUGACU